UCCUCAGUCUUCAUUCAUUCAUUCUUCUAUUUACUUGUUCAUUCAUUUAUUAAGAACACACAAAGGAGAUAAAAUGACAAAUGAGGUACAGUUCCUAUCCUCAAGGACAUUACCGUCGUGGGAACUGUAAUGAGGACAAUAUAACACGACUCAGCACACAACGGGAUGCGGCACAGGGCAGAUCCAUAAUCCCUUAUUGAACACUCUUGUGGGCAAGAGAGAUCUCAGACCAAAGCAUUUUUUCCAGCUUUAGAAAGAUAAUCUGGUACCUAUAUUGUCUGUUUUUUAAAUGCUCCCAAAGGGGUCUGAGGUAGCAAUCCAAAGCCACACAAUUUUUCUACAGCACAAUGUAUGACUAUUCUCACCAAAUGAGAUAUGUUGGCACCGAAGUUAACAUUAGAAAAAAGAUGGCUUCAGAGCUUUGUGUAUUUUAUGAUCAUGGAUGAGGGGCUUGGGAUCUGUACAGUUCACUACAAUGUACCGCAAAGAAUACAAGGUGGGGGGCAAGCGGCUUUGGGGUACUCUGUGUGAGGGAGUCUAUUCCAAUUUGGGGUGUGGAUAAAAGGCUUCCCGAGCCCAGAAGCUAAGUAGGAGAUGGUGAGGGUGGAGGAAAGAGGUGUUAAUAGACUAGAGAAAGGCUCCUGAAGCAGCAGUGUGAUGUACUAAGGCAUGUGGUGUGUGAGAGACUAGGGAAAGCAAGAACAUUCUCGAAAUUUCCAAGUGAGGCGGUGAAUGAGAAGAUGGGAGCCUGAAGCCAUGAGGCAGCACCCAGCCCAGUUGCAGACAUGAGGGGAAGUGCUAGUUCUUGUUCCUGACUCAGCUCCUUCUGAGCUGGCAAAAGCCCGUCACCUCAGUAACCGACAUGGUAACUGCUCUUCUCUAGGUUUCAAACAAGCUGCUCCCAAGGGCCGGUCGACAUAGCCUCGAACUAGAAGCAUAGCCUUCCCUGAUCAUCAGCUUUCUCUCGGGCCCAAUAUGGCAUGCCAAACUCUCUCCGGCUGCCUGAAACCAGUUUCCCAACCGAUCGUCUAUUUUACAACCCAGCUCUGAGACAGUCUUGUCAUGUCAAGGCUUCUAAUUCACCCACUUGCAGUUUAGAAUCAUUGAUGUAUACGAUUCAGCUUCUUAGUAACCUGUGCUGUUUUAACCAGAGGGCUAGACGGUUCUGUUUUUCCAUCCACCCCAUUCACCUUUAAUUAUGCCAGGAACUACCUAUGUAAGUUCAAGCUUUGAACCCAUCUGCAAGUAUAAUCUUCGCCUCCAAUUCCAUGGUUUUUAAUAUUUAUUUAUUUUUGAGAGACAGACAGAACGCAAGUGGAAAGGGGCAGAGAGAGGGGGAGACACAGAACCCAAAGCAGGGUCCCAGCUCUGAGCUGUCAGCACAGAGCCCGACACGGGGCUUGAGCUCACGAACUGAGAGAUCACGACCUGAGUCGAAGUCGGACGCUCAACUGACUGAGCCACCCAGGUGUCUCCCCAAUCCCAUUUUUAUUUUCGAUAUUCUUCUUUCACCUUUUGACUUAAGUAGCAAUAAUAGUAGCUGGUUCUACUUUUGGUUUUUGGACAUGGGUUAAUCAUAAAUUUGCCACGGACUAACUGUAACAUUAGGCAAAUUAUCUAGCCUUCCAGAUCAUUUCUUCUCUUGUAGAAUGGAGAGAUAAAAAGACAAGAUGGGGGCACCUGGGUGUGGCUCAGCUGGCUAAGCAACCAACUCUUGAUUUCAGCUCAAGUCUCAUGGUCAUGAGAACGAACUUGGUAUUGGGGUCCACACUAGGUGUGAAGCCUGCUUAAGAUUCUUUCUCUCCUUUCUCUCCCUCUGCCCUUCCUCUGAUUUCUCUUAAAGAAAGAAAGAAAGAAAGAAAGAAAGAAAGAAAGAAAGAGGGAGAGAAAAGACAAGAUGUGCCUCACUGGGUUGUCAAGAUGAUGCGGGUGAAGUGCGUAAGGUACUCACAUAAAUGUCAGGUGCUCAAAAUGGCAGGUACUUUCUAUAAUAUAAUUACCUUUUCUCUUGUUUAUUUGGAUAUAUAUUGUGUGGCUCUUAUGCUCGUCUUGUCUCAUGGGGAUCACAGAAUAAAGUUUCUUCCAAAUGGAACAUUCCUUGUAUCAGUCGGUUUGGGACAAAUUAAUUCCUCAGAUAGGAACCCGGAUCUCACUUCAGAGGUUUUCUACAAGUGAACGUAGAAAUUCUCAUUUCUUUCUGGUCCCCGUUUUCCAGGAUAUGGACCUUUUGGAGGACACAGGUGUCCGUAUGGGCUCCAAGCUAUGAUGCCAUAGGAGUAGAUCAGACUUGGCUUGGCUGUGCCAUUGGAAACAAAAGGAAAAGCAAGGGUGUUAAAUGAGCAACAGACCUCCCCAAACCACCUCUCCAAGAUGUCAAAUUGUCAGACUUUCGGUGAGUGUGUGACCGGACCAUGGCUGUGCUCAGGACAGUUUGCUGUCUGCAUUCAAGUCUGCUGGAAGUCGACUCUUUUCUCUUAGUUUCUAUCCUGUGGAAAUAUUUUGCAGGUAGAGCUGGAGUUUGCUCUUGUCCAAAGGCCACAUGAGGACUGCACGCUUUUUU